GGAGGAAUAUUGGGUCAAAUGGGGGCGGAAGCCUGAACCAGCCAUGCCGCGUGAAGGACUAAGGCCCUAUGGGUCGUAAACUUCUUUAGACGCAGAGCAAUAAGGGUCUCGCGAGAUCCGAUGAGAGUAUGCGUAGAAUAAGCAUCGGCUAACUCCGUGCCAGCAGCCGCGGUAAUACGGGGGAUGCGAGCGUUAUCCGGAUUUAUUGGGUUUAAAGGGUGCGUAGGCGGAAGUGCAAGUCAGCGGUGAAAUCCCCGCGCUCAACGCGGGAGUUGCCGUUGAUACUGUACAUCUGGAAUGCUCUUGCCGUGGGAGGAAUGAGUAGUGUAGCGGUGAAAUGCAUAGAUAUCACCAAGAAUACCAUUGCGAAGGC
rnacentral:rRNA from 1 species